UACGAAGGGGGCAAGCGUUGUUCGGAAUUACUGGGCGUAAAGGGCGCGUAGGCGGCUUAUCAAGUCAGGCGUGAAAUUCCCGGGCUCAACCUGGGGGCUGCGCUUGAUACUGAUGAGCUUGAAUGCGGGAGAGGAUAGUGGAAUUCCCAGUGUAGAGGUGAAAUUCGUAGAUAUUGGGAAGAACACCAGUGGCGAAGGCGGCUAUCUGGCCCGUAAUUGACGCUGAGGCGCGAAAGCCAGGGGAGCGAACGGG
rnacentral:rRNA from 1 species